GAUGAAGAACGUAGCGAAAUGCGAUAAGUAAUGUGAAUUGCAGAAUUCAGUGAAUCAUCGAAUCUUUGAACGCACCUUGCACCCUUUGGCUAUUCCGAAGGGUAUGCCUGUUUGAGUAUCAUGAACACCUCAACUCUCAUGGUUUGCCAUGAUGAGCUUGGACUUUGGGGGUCUUGCUGGCCUGUGGUCAGCUCCUCUCAAAUGGAUUAGCUUGCCAGUGUUUGGUGGCAUCACAGGUGUGAUAACUAUCUACGCUUGUGGUUUUCCACCAGGUAACCUUCAGCAAUGGGGGUUCGCUGGGGCUCAUAAAUGUCUCUCCUCAGUGAGGACAGCUCUUUGAACGUUUGAUCUCAAAUCAGGUAGGACUACCUGCUGAACUUAAGCAUAUCAAUAAGCGGAGGA
rnacentral:misc_RNA from 1 species